AUUAUAAUAAACCCAAAACUACUAAUAAAAGGAAUAUUAAAAAAUAUAAGUCUAAAAAAUAUGAUAAAAGUAAAGUUAUUUGCCACAAUUGUGGACAAAAGGGUCAUUAUAAAAAUGAAUGUAAAAUAAAACAAAAAUUAAAUCAGUUAAAUAUUUCUAGUGAAGAUACUGAGCAAAUCCUAGAACUUAUGCGAAUAGAAAAUGAUAACAGUAAUAAUGAAUAUUCUUCUAGUUCCUCUAGUAAUAAAAGUAAUAACACAUCUAGUAGUGAUACAGCAGAAGUCACUAUUUGCGCUGACAAUUGCAAUGAGCAGUGUUGCACAAAAAGAAUUAAUGUUAUCAACAAAGACGAUGAAGAAAGCUCUUUAUUAAUUGAUCUAAUUAGUAAGAUUACUG
rnacentral:lncRNA from 1 species